rnacentral:rRNA from 1 species
UACGUAGGCAGCAAGCGUUGUUCGGAUUUACUGGGCGUAAAGGGCGGGUAGGCGGCCACCGCAAGUCAGUUGUGAAAUCUCUGGGCUUAACCCAGAAAGGUCAACUGAUACUGCGGGGCUAGAGUGCAGAAGGGGCAACUGGAAUUCUCGGUGUAGCGGUGAAAUGCGUAGAUAUCGAGAGGAACACCUGCGGCGAAGGCGGGUUGCUGGGCUGACACUGACGCUGAGGCGCGAAAGCUAGGGGAGCGAACGGG